GUACCUAAUUCUUUAUAAAAGCAUGCCUGGGUUGUGUUAGAAUCUAAACUUCAAGAAUAUGAAAAGCCCCCCUAUCUUGCAAAGGAUUUGAUAACACAUAGAUCCUUUUGAUUCUAAUUUUUACAUUAGCUGAUGGGUGAUAUCCACAUUCAAGAUGCUUAUCCAAUUUAAACUUUAUUUCAGAAACUUGGAACAACAGAAAAGGAUGGCUUGAAUUUUUAAAAUUAACUUAAUAUUAAUCAGGAAUCUGCCACAUGCAAAGCACCUGCAGAAGAAAUGCAAAAAGCCUGAAAUAUGACUGCUCCUACUCGAGUCGCCAAUAGUCUUAUGAAAGAGAUAACACUUGCAAAAUGUCCUGUUGUAUUAGCCUGCUCAGUUGCUGUAACAAAAUACCAUAGGACAGAGAUUUAUUGCCUCACAUUUCUGGAGACUGUAAAGAUCCAAGAUUGAGGUAUUGGAAAAUUCAGUUCCAGGGUGACACUUCUCAGGAAACCACCAAUAGAGAGUAAAUCAUGGAUUUGGACUCAAAAUAAGGUAGUACCAUCGGAGAGCGCCAACUCCAUCAACUGGAUGAAGGUUGGAGGCACUCCAGAUCUGCUUAGGUGGCAAGGCUGAGCCAGGCUCCAUGAGACUGGAAGGGCUAAUGGUCAUGAGGGCCUGCAGCAAUUCUAUGUAAAAAUAACAUCCAGCUCCCCAGACAUUUGGCAAGGCUCUGAUUGCCGUCCCUUGAGAGUCAGGAAGUCGUGACUGUCAAAUCAGAGCUGAGCGUGGCUGUGGCGGGGGUGGAGGCCGAGGACUGGUAUUAGGACUGCCCUCCCCCUGGAGUGAGUCAGGUUCUGGGUCAGAGUCCACCUGUCCUCAGAAUCAGCCUGUCACACUUGACUCACUCCCUGAUGGUGAAAGCCACCCCCAGCCGCAACUUGAAAAUGUCCCAAAUGGUGGGUAAAGCAAACCUCCAAGCAUUUCAGAAUGGGCAAAGCUGGGAGUCCAGGCAGUAGGAAAAAAAAAAAAAAAAAAAACCCCCUUUUUUUUUUUUUUUUUUUUUUUUUUCUCGUUAGGGCCACACCUGCUGCAUAUGGAGGUUCCCAGGCUAGGGGGUCAAAUCUGAGGUACAGCUGCUGGCCUACACCACAGCCACAGCCAUAGCCACAACAACAGGAUCGGAGCCACGUCUGCAACCUACACCACAGUUCCUGGCAAUGCCAGAUCCUUAACCCACUGAGUGAAGCCAGGGAUCAAACCUGCAACCUCAUGGUUCCUAGUCAGAUUCAUUUCCACUGCACCAUCAUGAAAACUCCAAGACCUGCUUUUUUUGUUUGUUUGUUUUUGUUUUUGUUUUUGAGCCUCUUUUCUGGGUCUAGCAGAGUUCAAAAUUCCGCUUGAACUACCUGGUAACCAUUAUGCUAACUGGUUAACUUGAGGACUGUCUUGCCCAGCAGGGAAUGAGGGAAGAGCUAGAAAAAUAAGUCUACUUGGGGGGCUUAGAUAAGAAUUCAGAAACUGAGACCAAGGGAAAGGCCCAGCUGUGUGAACAGGUGCCCUCAAAAGAGGUUAACAGUUUUAAGAAUCACCUGGACUUAGGGGCCACUUUAAGAGAUUCAAGACAAAAGAGAGUGGAGAGAAGGGCAAAGAGGGGGCUUGGGAAAUGACGGGGGGAGUAAGAGAUGGGUUUGAGUUUCAGCUUCCAGGUCUAUUUUGGAAAAAGAGAGUGUUGCUCUCCUCACCAGCUGCUGCACACCUGCCAGGCUGGAAAGAAGGCUCCGGUGGCUUCCAUGCUGCUUGAUCCAUGACUCCUAGGGUUAGCAACUGUGGUCAGCAAGAAAGCUGGAAGGAGAUGGGAUGGGCAGGCAGGUUGUAAAGGCAUCAUGGUCAAGGGCAGUUGUUUACUGGAAAGGAAACACUGAUUGCCAUGCAAGACAAGUAUUUCUGCAGAAAAAUUAGAAUGAUCUCAGGCUUUUGGAGAAAAAUGUACUUUCAUUUUCACCAAUGAACGUUCUCUCUCCCAAGCUCCAAACAAAUAUCGCUCCCUUUCCCGUCCAGGGACCAGCAACAGACAGCACAGCAAAUCUGCACUCUUUGUGGUUAGUGAGAAAGGAAGUGAAGGACUCUGGGGUCAUAUAUGAGGUGCAGCUAUAUUCAGAGAGCUAGCAGGGAUGCUCUGAGGUCCCUGUAUUCCUCCUCAUUGCCCAAGGAGUGCGCUAAGCAGCAGAGUGGGGGCUGGAGACAGUAGCCAAAACAUCAUAGGGUUUAAGUUCUAAUACCAGCUCUGCCAGCUGCUGAUUUAUGAGGUUUGGGGCAACACAUCUGCUCUCUCGCAGCCUCCUUGCCUGUAUCCCUAAAAUGAGGGGGUUGUUUUAUGAUGCUGAGGAAUGUUAGGAUCAGAUAAGAUGAUAAGAAAUCCCAUUCCUCCCCCAGAUUCCUGUACACCUCAGCCAGAAACCAGACAGUCACAGGAGACACCUUACUCCCUGGUUUCUCACCUCCUACUGUUUCUGCUCGCACCCCCCCCCCAUCUCUCUUGAAUUCAUCCCUUCCUGGAUCUCCCAAUUGCCCCUGCCUGAAGUUAGGCUCUAGUGCUCCCUCACCUGGAUGCCCCAAUUCUGGUGUCCACUUUUACCCUCCAUUGAUGCAUCGGCUCCAUCCACUCCCACCAACCAUUAAAUAGCUUCCAAAAAGGAAGCCGUCUGUCUUUUCUCUCUGCAGCAUCAGUGUCAAGCACAACAAUGUGGAAUAGGCUCCCCUCAGAAUGUUUGAUAAAGAGAUAACUAGGUAGAGGAAUAAAUCAUUGGACAUAGAUGCAAA
rnacentral:lncRNA from 1 species